UAACGUUACUUUCCUAACUAACGUGACUUUUAAGAAUUGUCAUGGGACAUAGGCUUAGGUAGAUAACUUAAUUUAAAUUUGAUAUACAGUAGUGCCGAUACAAAGGGAAAGAGGACCAGUAAAACUAAUGAAUGUAGUAAUUUAUCUCCCACCUUAACCUUAACUAAACUGCAGUUUAGUAUGGCCAUUGUCAUUAACAGACGUGUCAAGUAUGUGAAUGGGGGUAUGAUGCACUUUAGGUUGUGAAGGGUAGUGUUUGGCUUCAUGUUCUUCAUUUCAUAGCCCUUAUUUAUCCCUUGUUUGAUAUACCUAAUCUGCGCCGAACUAUGUGUUUAUUUAAAAUGCAUAUGAGUGUAGUAGUGCUUCAGUGAUGAUCUUUUUAUCUUCUGUGUGUUUUGCAACUUAUUAAUCUUAGUCUCCCUCUGUUCCCUCUGUUUACAGACAUUGCAUUGUGAGGACUGGUGCCCUGGGAACACUGAGCGCAUUCUCGAAAAUUCCAAAUUUGUGCCACUUCCAUAUGAAGACAGCCCAGAAUAAUUGGGCUCCAUCAACCAUCCCGGGUAAAGUCGGUCUGUCCUGAUUGCACUACUUGCUAAUUGAUGACGUCUAGAAGCCAUGGCUGCUUCCCUCAAUGUGGCAGCCCUCACAAAUAAACUGAUACCAGGAAUUAACAUACAGUAGAUGGUGAUGGUGGUGGUGGCAAGGGUGCCUUCACAAGGUGCCAUGUCACAAUCUCAGUGUGGAGCCAAAGGCUGCUAUUGCAAGUCAGAUGGGGGACGAUCGAUGUAAGGCAUCAGAAAGGUGGUGUACGUACAAAGGCUGGAGCUGCUGGAGACAGUGUUGCACUUAGAUACUUGAUUUACUGCCGAAGGUACCAUCAGAGCACCACCCUACCCCUGCAGGACCAGAAGAGGACGGACAGGGGGCCAACAUUUUUUAACACUCUGACCAUGGACUAUUUAAACCAUUGAGGUAAAGCAGACGUCUGAUCCCACUUGGCUAAAACAGAAGACUGAGGAGGAGUUUCUUUCCUCAUGCCAUUCGCAUCCUGAGCACACAUACUACAUUACAUGGACUUGCCAUACUGCACUUACACACUGCACUAUUUACCCCCUGACUCAUUCCGUGUCAAAUCAGACAAGGUUAUGCUGCACCGUCUCAGGCCUGUACAAUAUUUUUUUGUUCAAUCCUAUGUCUUCAUAGUAUAAUGUUUGUAUGGCCUGCUCAAUG